GUUUGAUCCUGGCUCAGAGCGAACGCUGGCGGCGUGCUUAACACAUGCAAGUCGAGUGCGCAGUCUUCUGUAGCAAUACAGGAGAUCGGCGCACGGCGCACGGGUGCGUAACACGUGGGUAACCUGCCCUCCAAAGGGGGAUAACCCGCCGAAAGGCGGGCUAAUACCGCAUGACAUUCCGGUGGCUUCGGCCGCUGGAAUCAAAGCCCGCAAGGGCGUUGGAGGAGGGGCCCGCGGCCGAUUAGCUUGUUGGCGAGGUAACGGCUCACCAAGGCUUUGAUCGGUAGCCGGUCUGAGAGGAUGGCCGGCCACACUGGAACUGAGACACGGUCCAGACUCCUACGGGAGGCAGCAGUGGGGAAUCUUGCGCAAUGGGCGAAAGCCUGACGCAGCGACGCCGCGUGGGGGAUGAAGCUUCUCGGAGUGUAAA
rnacentral:rRNA from 1 species